CGAAGGUCCCGAGCGUUAUCCGGAUUUAUUGGGUUUAAAGGGUGCGUAGGCGGGUUAUUAAGUCAGUGGUGAAAGCCUACAGCUUAACUGUAGAAUUGCCAUUGAUACUGAUGAUCUUGAGUAUGAUUGAGGUGGGCGGAAUGUGUCAUGUAGCGGUGAAAUGCUUAGAUAUGACACAGAACACCGAUUGCGAAGGCAGCUCACUAAGUCAUAACUGACGCUGAUGCACGAAAGCGUGGGGAGCAAACAGGAUUAGAUACCCUGGUAGUCCACGCCCUAAACGAUGAUCACUCGAUGUGUGCGAUACACUGUACGCGUCUGAGCGAAAGCAUUAAGUGAUCCACCUGGGGAGUACGACCGCAAGGUUG
rnacentral:rRNA from 1 species